UGAUCAGAAGGGUUCUUCUAGUUCCCACAGGAGCAGAUCUAGGUCGCCUGAUCGAAGUCCUGUUGGAUCACGAUUGCAACGCUCAGAAUCCCAAAGGUCUUAUACAGUUCACCCACGUAAUACAUCACAGUAUCAACAAAGAUUUGGUAGACAGGACAAGAUUGUGGAAGAUCGCAUUCGUGAGGAUAUGCAGAAGUUUUCUAGGAGUUCUCCACAA
rnacentral:misc_RNA from 1 species